GUGCCUUGGCUCCGUCCCUACAGUUAUUCUGCCUUCCAGCAGCCUCGCGUGUGCUCUGAUCCGGAGAAGGGUUUAAUACGUCUUCAUAAAGGGAGGCCUGAAUGCUGACCCCAGCUUCUGGAAAGCGAUGAUUAAACUCGAAGUGUGGGUGCCUCACGCGGAGGAUUACCAUAUCACUUUGAAGACUCUCUCAGAUGGACUCAGCAGGAACUUGAAUGUGGAUGUCCCACAGCCYGUAGCUCUCCAGAGUAUGAAAACGGUUUCAACUCACUGCAAAAAAUACCAGCUUUGACUGAAAGGAGUUGGAUUCUCGCGACUCAGAGUGAACAAGGGAGGUGCUACCUGUUUUGAGAGUCUGCCUGAUACAGGGAAAAGAGUGUUUAUGGACUAGCUUUGAAAUCAAAAGCAUUUGUAUCAGAAAAACACAGUACCAGAUUCCAUCAUCUGUCCAUCUGUCAGAGAGAAGUGACCCAGAAAUACUGGCCAACCGCUCAGCUCCAAACAAGGUAACAAUGAUGGAUCUCCCCAUUAUUGUGAU
rnacentral:lncRNA from 1 species